CACACAAACACCACAUUCACGCUCGCAUAUAUCGUCAUGGUUACGGCAAUAACUUGUUAUGCAAUUUUGCAACGAUUGCAAGAGAAUUUCAAGUCGGCGGUGGCUGACUACGCACAUUCCUAUUGUGUCGCAACGAAUACACACGGAGAAUGUGCGAGUUUUGUCAGUUCAACGAGCUGUGAGAUAAAGAUGAACCGCAGGAUGAGUGUGCGGAGUGGCGAGGUCGAAAUGUCAAACGGUUUUUUCCUGCGUCUCUUCGCAGGCUCGCCGCGGUCGUCGUCGCGGGCCGGCGAGGUGGAAGAAGCGAGUUGACUGGAGUUGAGGCUAAGCAGAACCGGAUUCAUACAAUCUUCCACCGACAUCAGUUUGAGUCAUCAACACAUUUUGAAAUUCUUUUGACCAACAUUACAAACACAGACUGUGUUUAUGUUUAAAUUUUGUUUCUACCUGCUUGGUUAUUUAGUAGGUUUAGUUGGUUUAGUUUCCUGCCUUUUGAUAAUCCGACCAGCCGAGGUAAACAGCUUGCUUGCACGAAGCAAGCAACGAAAUAUCGUGCGUUUUGAGUUUUGUGUCUCGAUGUGCCCACGAAAAUAUACCUACUAUAAAUGUU